GUGCCUACUUCAGCAGCAUAUAUACUAAAAUUGGAAUGAUACAGAGAAGAUUAGCAUGGCCCCUACGCCAAGGAUGACAUGCAAAUUCGUGAAGCACUCCAUAUUUUU